UACAGAGGGUGCGAGCGUUAAUCGGAAUUACUGGGCGUAAAAGCGUGCGUAGACGGUAGCGUAAGUCAGAUGUGAAAAGCCCCGGGCUCAACCUGGGAAUUGCAUUUGAGACUGCUCUGCUCGGGUGCGGAAGAGGGAAGCGGAAUUUCCGGUGUAGCGGUGAAAUGCGUAGAUAUCUGGAAAGAACACCGGUGGCGCAAGCGGCUUGCUGGGCUGUAACUGACACUGAGGAACGAAAGCUAGGGUAGCGAAAUGGG
rnacentral:rRNA from 1 species